GGGGAAAUAGUAUAAUGGGUAGUAUAGCAAUUUUGCAUAUUGUUUGUCCGGGUUCGAUGCCCGGUUUCUCCA
rnacentral:tRNA from 1 species